CUCUCUCUCUCUCUCUCCAAACCUAGUAGAGAAAAAAAAACUCCCCCACCUCUUCAGUGUCGCAUCUUGGGGGGAGGUGGUCUGCCCCUCCUCCCUCCCCCUCCUCUUCCUCAUUCUUCCUCCUUGAAUUACGCUUUUCUUCUUCUCCCUUUAUUUUCCAAUCUGGUGGGAUGAAGACCAUGGGCAUGAUUUCCCCUAUCACCACCCUCUUUACCUUGCGGGUCUUGCUCCAUACCGACCCAAAAUCUAUGGCUCAUCUGGAUUCCUUCCCUCCCCUUUGAUAUGGCCUCAUCCUUGGGAUGUAGAUGCACAUUUCAAAUGCGUUUUGGCGCGUAUUUAUUGGAAGGUGUGUAGAGCUCUAGCUUGAGUACUUGCACCACCUCCUUCCAGUUUAUUGGUUCUUUUUCUCUUAGUUGUGGAAUGGGUUUUCUCAUUCUUUUUUUUAUGGCUGCUGUCCUUUAGAUGUAUUGGUUGGGUUAAUUCUGGUUCUGUUGGCGAAUCUUGGGUGGGCUAUGUUUUGAGGGAUAUUUGGCUUGGUUUGCUGACCUACGAGUGUUUGGUUCUUCAUGGUGGUGAUUGGUGGUUUGUCCAUCUAUAGUUGUGGAGUUUCUCUUUGCAGAUGGCGGCUUGGAGUUUCUCUUUGGUUGUGGCCGCUAGGUAUUUUUCUUUUAUUUUAUGUAUUUUAUGUUUAAUUUGGGCCUUAUGUCAAAUGUGGCCUUUAUGCCGAAUGUGGCCUUUAUGCCGAAUGUGGGCGUAAUGCCUCUUUGUGGGCUAUAUGCCUUUAUAUGGGCUAAAUGCCUUUAUGUUGGCUUUUGCCGUUUUAGUUUUUUUUUUUCUUGGGAACAUGAUCUUCGUGCUAUACUAUAUAGUCUGUAAUGGUUUUAGCUAGAUUUGUUCGUGUUUGUUUCAUGUUGGUUUUCUGGCUGGUGUUUUUGCCUAACUUUAUUUAUUAUAUUUUCU
rnacentral:lncRNA from 1 species